UCUUCCUACGGGAGGCAGCAGUGGGGAAUAUUGCACAAUGGGGGAAACCCUGAUGCAGCAACGCCGCGUGAGUGAAGAAGUAUUUCGGUAUGUAAAGCUCUAUCAGCAGGGAAGAAAAUGACGGUACCUGAGUAAGAAGCCCCGGCUAACUACGUGCCAGCAGCCGCGGUAAUACGUAGGGGGCAAGCGUUAUCCGGAUUUACUGGGUGUAAAGGGAGCGUAGACGGCGAUGCAAGUCUGAAGUGAAAGCCCGGGGCUCAACCCCGGGACUGCUUUGGAACUGGUUGGCCUGGGUA
rnacentral:rRNA from 1 species